ACGGCUUUCUGACGGAUGCCUACUAUGAUGUGCUGUUAUGUGGCACUCAUAGUUGGGGAUGCGAGGAGCUAAUUUGCUCGAUCUAAUAAGCUAUGUGUAUUAGUAUGCAAAAAUAGGGAGGAAGGACAAAGGAAAGAGCGAUGCCUACAUUAAAUCAAUUGAUUCGUCAUGGGGAACCCAACCCUAGCUUGAGGCUUGCUUGUCUCAAUCAAUUUGAUUGCUUUAACUAGUCAUGCUAUGGAGAAUUCCCAUUGAGAGCCAACUGCUUCAUGCCCCAGAUCGCGGGGAUUCUUAUUGUGUGUGGUCAUAUUUCCUAUUCAUUGAGUAAAGGGCCGCGUUAGACCCGCCUUUCAUCGGAGCACAUCGCUUUCGCUCCUCAGUUUCUCAGUGGAAGAGGACCUUUCUCGAUCAACUAUCUUACUUGAAUGAAGAAAGAAGUAAACUUUCUAUACCAAAUUAUCUGAAUAGCCAAAUAAAGGAAUUUUUGGCUUGAUAGCCACUCCCCUGAAAAACUGCAAAGAAGACGAUUCGCUACUUCCGAAUCGCUGCAUCCAGCUCCUCCAGUCUCCUCUUUCGUUUGCUUUCUUUAUUAUUGCUUCUGUUGAAUGAAUAUAGGGCUCAGGCGAAGAAGGGUGAUCCCUAUCAAUAGACUUUUAUACCAGUUUGGCCUACAGCUCCCGUACCUAGCGAUAAAGUGUCUGGUUUCUCUUUCGAGCGUAUCCUGAUAGUGCGGUGCUGUUCCCUCUCUCGGCAUAGAGUCUAUCAGAGAGGGGCUUUUGUCUCGCCAACUCCGUCUGCUUUUGCUUCGAGUGCCCUUUCCCCUUCCAGUCUAGUACUUUUUUCAAUCUUUAUUUUUUGCUUAGAGUGAGGUUGUAAUCAUCAGUAGCAUUAUGCAUUCAUUGUUCUUAAAACUAACAAAAGGUCUUCAAAUAGUUCGUGGUAAUCUUCUUGAUAGAUAUAAUACUGCUUGACAGGAUAGAAGGCUUCCGCCAUGGUGGGUUCGCUAUGAGACUCCUAUUAGUAAUCCACCACAUAUGGAUGAGGUUCAUCGUGAUAUGUUGCGACAUUUCGGAAUUAACGGAACCCACCAGAUUAGGCAUAGAUCAGGUGCAGUCUAUACUAUACAUUUGGCCCAUUGAUUCCCCAUAGGAGUAUUCCUAUUCAAGGUGAACGCACUCCCUUGCAGCGAUUGCCAGCUCCAGGUCUAUCAGGUGUUUUAAGUAUCAGAGAAACUUCUAGAAUAAAGUCUUUUGGCCUUGGGGAAGCCUUACAAUAUUCUUACAUGAGAGACACUCGCUUCGUUGUUCUUACUUCUCUUCUACUCUUUUUCGGUCUAUGGUCUAUGUUGUCCCCUGCUCCAUUGUGCUUAAAAGCAGCAGCCCUAAUUUAUUUUCUCCCGAUAUAGGAUUUCUUUUAAAAGUAGCUAAAAAUAUCUAUAUAGAAGGGAUCUGUAGUAACCAUCCUCAGGUAAUAUCUCCCUGUGAUUGUGGGGAACCUCUUAAUUUAAUAGUAUCUUAGAACAUCUCUUAGAUACUCCUAAAGAAUCCGAAGAUUCCCCUCGUCUAGC
rnacentral:lncRNA from 1 species